UACGUGGGGGGCUAGCGUUGUCCGGAAUCAUUGGGCGUAAAGAGCGUGUAGGCGGUCCGGUAAGUCCGUUGUGAAAGUCAGGGGCUCAACCCUUGAAUGCCGGCGGAUACUGUCGGGCUAGAGUCCGGAAGAGGCAAGUGGAAUUCCCGGUGUAGCGGUGAAAUGCGCAGAUAUCGGGAGGAACACCUAUGGCGAAGGCAGCUUGCUGGGACGGUACUGACGCUGAGACGCGAAAGCGUGGGGAGCAAACAGG
rnacentral:rRNA from 1 species